CAGUCGCCGCGGUAAUACGUAGGGUGCGAGCGUUAAUCGGAAUUACUGGGCGUAAAGCGUGCGCAGGUGGUUAUAUAAGACAGAUGUGAAAUCCCCGGGCUCAACCUGGGACCUGCAUUUGUGACUGUCUAGCUAGAGUACGGUAGAGGGGGAUGGAAUUCCGCGUGUAGCAGUGAAAUGCGUAGAUAUGCGGAGGAACACCGAUGGCGAAGGCAAUCCCCUGGACCUGUACUGACGCUCAUGCACGAAAGCGUGGGGAGCAAACAGGAUUAGAUACCCCAGUAGUCCCUGUCUCUUAUAA
rnacentral:rRNA from 1 species